AGUCUUAUGGCUCGGGGGUAGAAGCUGUUUAGAAGCAUCUUGGACCUAAACUUGGCGCUCUGGUACCGCUUGCCGUGCGAUAGCAGAGAGAACAUUCUAUGGCUAGGGUGGCUGGAGUCUUUCACAAUUUAGUCUCAUUAGCUUGGCAGUAUAGUAUUUGUUGCUCCCUAGUGGGCUAAUAAAGCAAUUUGGCAUGUGUGUGUGUUAAAAUCUGCCAUUUGGCAGUUCAGGCUGCUAUGCCGGUAUAGUGAAUAUGGGUCUGUGCAUUGAGUGUUAGGCGUAUAGCAGGGGUAUUUGAUUUGAUUCAACUCUUACCCUACGAGGCCCGGAGCCUGCUGGUCUUCUGUUGUAAUUGAUCAUUAAUUGCAUCCACCUAAGCCAGUCCCUGAUUAGAGAUGAACAAUGGGAAAAUGCAGUGGAACUGGCUUGGAGGUCCAGAGUUGAGUUUGAGGGGCCUAUAGGCUAUAUGUUUAUGACCUUAUAGGUAUGCCUCCACUGUUGUUAAGAUUUCAUUUCAUAUCGGGGCUUUUGGUGGUUGUGGUGAUAUGAUAUUCAUAUUUAAUAUUGUGUAGGCUGGCUGUAGCUACAUAAUAACAAGGUCAAUUCUCAGUAGUGGGUGGAGAUUAUUUUGAGUCGUCAAUAUUUACCACAACAACAAAGUUAUAAACCCCGCCCAUUUAUCUUCUUAAAAUUAGAUUUUAAACCUAACCAUAAUCUUAACCUUAAACAUGAAUUAACACACUGCUAACCUUAUGCAUAACACUAACCUUAAAUUAAGACCAAAAAGCACAUUUUUGUUUUCAUUCAUUUUUACGAUAUAGACUUUGUGUUUGUGGUAACUACUGGAAAUCAGUAUUUAGGGAGACCGUAAACCCCGCCUAUGCAGUUGAGAGGCAGAUUCAAAUGUGAUGACGUACAAGGAUACAUAAACAGGGAUUGGACCCCUAAAUAAAUGGAGAAGAUCCUCCGAAUAACUGGACAUGAACAGAUCCAUAUAAUACAAAAACUGACGAAUUUACGUAGCUCUAACUCUGAAGUUGUUGGCCCCCGUGCACAAAGCCAGGGAUUGGCAGGAAGUUAUUUUAAGUCUGCGGAGGUCAUCAGCAUUGGAGUAGACAGUUGACUAGACCGUUUAAAGCCCCCCUGCCUGCAUAUCUGAGAGCGAAUCGGGAUCAGCGGAUCCACCCCACACAGCCAUAGCCCUGCUUUGCCUAACCAUAGCGGUUCCUGCAUACGCCGUUAUGAGCUCCUGGUACGCGUCUGGUUCUCGGAACGACGCUCCCUCCCCACUCCCAGCCGUUACCGAAGAGAAGCCGCCGAAGAGGAGAGCGUUUUACCUGCUUUGGAAGACGUCCAAGAAUCGCAGCCGUAGCGACAAGCAACAGCAGCAGCAACCCGCGGCAAACAACAACAAUAUACCAUUCAUGAUCCACUGCCAGAUCGGGAAGGAGAUCAAGCACAUAUGCAGCAACUGCCGCGGCAACUGCCAUGAAGUUGAGGAGGUGGAGCGACUGGCAGCGAUGCGAUCUGAUUCGCUUGUCCCUGGCACACACACCCCUCCCAUUCGCAGGCGGAGCAAGUUUGCCACCCUCGGUCGUCUGUUCAAACCGUGGAAAUGGAGGAAGAAGAAGAGCGAGAAGUUCAAGCAGACAUCUGCUGUCCUGGAGAGGAAGAUGUCGACCCGGCAGAGCAGAGAGGAGCUGAUCAAGAGAGGAGUGCUGAAGGACAUCUACGACAAAGACAGAACGGUAGUAACGAGUGGAGAGGAGGUCAAUAUGGAGAACGGGAGCUCUCCAGCGUUAGGAGGGUCUGAUCCAUCACAUUGUGAUGGAGCUGAGCUGAUGGAUGGAGCAGGGUCAGCCAUAGGUACAGUAGAGUUCCAGUUGUCUGGAGAGGGGACGUCUCCACAAGACCACACCCAGAAUCCCAGCCAGGCUCCACCCACUAAGGUCAUGGUGUACCCGGGCGACGGCGGCGGGGCAGAGUCAUCUCAUCACAUCAUAAAACAACCCAGACAACCCCCAGCGCUACCCCCCAAACCCUUCAACAGACUGCCCAACCACAUCACAGAGGGUAUGCCAGUGAAGCUGCCCUGUAUGUCCAUGAAGCUGUCUCCUCCUCUACCUCCUAAGAAGCUGAUGAUCUGUGUGCCUGUGGGAGCGGGGGUAAGCAUGGAGCCCUCGGCCCUCACCUUCCAGAAGUGCCCCCCUCCCUCUCACCAUGUGGGGUCCCUUGGGGGCCACUCCCUACACUACAGGACCCUUCCUGUGCCCCUACACCCCCCCAGCCGCAUCAUCGAGGAACUCAACAAGACCCUGGCCCUUACCAUGAAGCGAUACGAGAGCUCCCUGCACCAUGUGGUUCCCACGGUGAUGAUGGCAUGUGAUAACAACAAAGAGAACCUCUGCAACGAAGAAGACUACCAAGACAUACCUGGGUCGUACAGGGACGAGGAGGAUGAAGAUGACGAUGAAACACUGUUUUCAAGUACCCUGGCUCUGAAGGUAUUGAGGAAGGACUCCUUGGCCAUUAAGAUCAGUAACCGUCCGUCUGUGAGAGAGCUAGAGGAGAAGAACAUCCUGCCCAGACAGUCAGACCAGGAGAGACUGGAGUUCAGGCAGCAGAUAGGCACCAAGCUCACACGGAGGUUGAGUCAACGGCCAACUACAGAGGAGCUGGAACAGAGAAACAUACUCAAACCGCGCAAUGAACUGGAGGAGCUAGAUGAGAUGAGAGAGCUCAAGAAACGCCUGUCUAGAAAGUUGAGUCAGAGGCCUACAGUGGAGGAGCUGAGGGAAGCUAAGAUCCUGACCCGCUUCAGUGACUAUGUAGAGGUAGCCGACGCCCAGGACUACGACAGGAGGGCAGACAAACCGUGGACAAGACUCACAGCUGCAGAUAAGUUCUGUUUGUCCCUUGUAGGCUGCUAUACGUAAAGAACUCAAUGAAUUUAAAAGCACAGAGAUGGAAGUGCAUGAGGGUAGUCGGCAUCUAACCAGGUUUCAUCGACCAUAGUUCUUCUUAUGCCAUCUUUUUCAAGAACCUCAAGUGCUGGACCUCAAAACUGCUGCCUCUGUACCACACCCCUCCCCUUCCAGACCAAAAUGCAACCAGACCAGAACUGGACCAGAACCACACUAGAACCAGAGUAGAAUGUGAUCUGAACCUGACCGUAAACUUAAUCUGAACCUGGCGGGGUGUGUACAGAACUGGGCGACUGACACUUCUACAGGCUCCAGUGUUGACCCAAAAUGGCUACCAAUGAAUGUAAAGGGCAGACUGGACCAACUACAACAGUAUUUUGGUCCAGUGGUCACAGUGUGGGCGGGUUGCGGAGAGGGACUGUCAUACACAUGGAGACUGACAGAAGGCACUAGACUGACUGGCUUCUCUGUCAGCGGAGAUUAUAUGGACUAAAGUAUUGUUUUUUUUUUAAUAGCCUUAUUAUAAUUGUUAAUAAUGAAGAUGGUUAAUGUGGUUAAUUGCACUUUGGUUUUUGACAGUACUCUAUGGAGGAGUUAUGGAACUCUGCUCCUAUAUCUGUGCCAAUGGGACUUUGGGAUUGUGGGAGAUUGAGUUUGGCAGGGUAUCUAAAAAAAUAAAAAAUACAGAGACCAACAACUGAUUGGGAGAAAUUAUUCUCCUCCAAGGGCUCCUGUUUCCAAAACAGAGAGACCAAGCCCUUUCAAUCAGAUAGGACUGCAGAAUAGGAUUCUGUAAUAAGUGUGUUGCAGUACUACUUACAAUGCCGUAUACACCAUGUGCUACUCUGGAAGCUGUAGUAUGAGAAUAUGAUCAGAAUAUAUACCCAUUAAAUGUUGAAAUACAACACAUCCUGUCCAUGUUGAAACAGUAUAGAAAUAUGAACCUAGCAAUAAUUGAACUUUUCUUUCCUCCGGGGCUGCAUUCAAGAGAACAAUUACUGGGAACAUUUCAGAGAGCUGCCUGCUCAAUACCAAAUACACUUUGAAACGCUGUUAUGAGUUGUGAUCUUGAAUGCAACCCAGAUCACCAUUAUUAUUGUUGAGUUCUGCAACCCUCUGUAUAGUGUCACUAUACCUGUCAUUGUUUACAGGGAUGAAAACAGUCAAAUGUACUUUGAAUGACAUUUGAUAAAGUAUGUUGCCUAUACAAUGUUUCAGCAGAGUGCUCCAUAGACUGGCAAGUUAACGGUCAAUAGUUAUGAAGGGAAUGGAAUUUAGAUUUCUGAAAACAGGAAUUGUAUGGUUCCGCCUUGUUUAGCCUCAUAGUGGAGAACCGACAUUAGACAACUCUUUGGCUGUAAAUGAAAGUACACUACAACCUUUAGCUCAUACACAGAGACAUUUCAAAAUUGUUAUUUUAUACUAAACACAUGCAGGUGAUGGUCUUGAUCGUUUAGCCGGAGAACCCUUUGACUUGUGGUGUAUCUUGGUAUGCGUGUGUAUACAGGGACAUGUUCAUAAGGUACAAAACAUGGAAAAUGUUUUACAACGGAGUGCUUACUAAACACGACCCAGGACCGUCUCCCUGUGCCUCUCCAUACUAAGAAAAGAAAGAGGACAUUCUUUGGGAAUUACUGUAUAAGACGUGUACAUAAUACAAAAUAAACAAAUGUUUUUCUUUUUUGUACAGAGGGAAACUGCAUGUGAUGAUUGUUAACUUAUUGUUCGUCUUCUAUCAUGUAUGCAGUUUCUUAUCUAAAGGAAACUUAAUAAAAAACAUUCAAAACUG